UGAAUUUACCCUAGACCAUUCAUAAUGUGGCUCAGUAGUGUGUAUGGCCUCCACGUGCCUGUAUGCAUUCCCUACAACGUCUGGGCAUGCUCCUGAUGAGACGACGGAUGGUCUCCUGGGGGAUCUCCUCCCAGGCCUGGAUCAGGGCAUCAGUCAGCUCCUGGACAGUCUGUGCCGGUACCUGGCAGUGUU